rnacentral:ncRNA from 12 species
AAAAAACUUACUAACUAUAUUGGAUUUAACAUUUGUACUAUAGAUAAAAUCUAAGUACAGUCGCUCUGCUCGAAGCGAUACAGCGGUUAAACAACUGGUGUUACGAAUUGUAGCGGGUGUGUGGCAACCCCAAAUAGUCACGGUGGUACUCUGUGCGGGUACUUUACUUAGUGUAUAAUUUAGAAAGUAAGCUAAACACUAUUACUGCUGGGCGGAGUAGGCAGGAACAAGCAUAAAGCUUGUGGUAAAGUAAGU